UGCCCUUUUGAUGCUGCAAUAUGCUGGUGCAUCACCAAAGAUAUUAGUAAAUUAUGAGUUCAAAUCCUAAUCGGAGUCCAAUUAAAAAAACAAAUAGAACAUCAUUAAUUAGUAUAAUCAUGGAAGGAUUUCUCUUAAAAAUUUAUCUUGGGAAAAUAGUUGAACCUUUCCCUUUGCUUUCUAAGUCCAAAUAAUUAUGAAUAUGAAUAUGGUUAG
rnacentral:misc_RNA from 1 species